GACAGAGGGUGCAAACGUUGUUCGGAAUUACUGGGCGUAAAGCGCGUGUAGGCGGCCCUGUAAGUCGGGUGUGAAAUCCCACGGCUCAACCGUGGAAGUGCAUUCGAAACUACAGGGCUAGAGUUCUGGAGAGGAAGGUGGAAUGCUUGGUGUAGAGGUGAAAUUCGUAGAUAUCAAGCGGAACACCGGCGGCGAAGGCGGCCUUCUGGACAGUAACUGACGCUGAGACGCGAAAGCGUGGGGAGCAAACGGG
rnacentral:rRNA from 1 species